rnacentral:rRNA from 1 species
AGAGUUUGAUCCUGGCUCAGGACGAACGCUGGCGGCGUGCCUAACACAUGCAAGUCGAACGGAGAAUUUCAAAGAGCUUGCUCAGAGAAAUUUUUAGUGGCGGACGGGUGAGUAACGCGUGGGUAACCUACCCAUAAACCCGGGACAACCCUUGGAAAUGAGGGCUAAUACCGGAUAAUCUUUUGGUUUGGCAUCAAAUUUAAAGAAAAGGUGGCCUCUGUAUAUGCUACCGAUUAUGGAUGGACCCGCGUCUGAUUAGCUAGUUGGUGGGGUAAAGGCCUACCAAGGCGACGAUCAGUAGCCGGCCUGAGAGGGUGAACGGCCACACUGGGACUGAGACACGGCCCAGACUCCUACGGGAGGCAGCAGUGGGGAAUCUUCCGCAAUGGACGAAAGU